GUCGAUUUGAACACUUUCAUAACAGAAG
rnacentral:piRNA from 1 species